AAGCGCACGCAGGCGGUCUCGUCAAGUCGGAUGUGAAUCCCCGAGGCUCAACCUGGGACUGCAUUCUUAACUGGCAGGCUAGAGUCUGUGUAGAGGGAGGUAGAAUUCCAGGUGUAGCGGUGAAAUGCGUAGAGAUCUGGAGGAAUACCGGUGGCGAAGGCGGCCCCCUGGAAAAAGACUGACGCUCAUGUGCGAAAGCGUGGGGAGCAAACAGGAUUAGAUACCCUGGUAGUCCACGCCGUAAACGAUGUCGACUUGGAGGUGGUUCCCUUGAGGAGUGGCUUCCGGAGCUAAGGCGUUAGUUCAACCGCCGGGGGAGUACGGCCGCAGAGUAAAAACUAAAAUGAAUGGACGGGAGCCCGCACAGCCGGGGAAGCAGGGGGUUAAUUUCAAUGAAACGCAAAGAACCUUACCUACUCUGGACAUCCAGAGAAGUUAGCAGAAAUGCUUUGUUGCCUUCGGAAACUCUGAAACAGGUGCUGCAUGGCUGUCGUCAGCUUCGUGUUGUGAAAUGUUGGGUUAAAGUCCCCGCAACGAGCGCAACCCUUAUCCUUUGUUGCCAGCGGUUCGGCCGGGAACUCAAAGGAGACUGCCAAUGAUAAACUGGAGUGAGGUGGGGAUGACGUCAAGUCGUCAUGGCCCUUACGAGUAGGGCUACACACGUGCUACAAUGGACAUAUACAAAGAGAACGCGACCUCGCGAGAGCAAUGCGGAACAUCACAAAUCUAUGUCGUAG
rnacentral:rRNA from 1 species